AUUGAACGCUGGCGGCGUGCCUAACACAUGCAAGUCGAACGAGUGGCGGACGGGUGAGUAAUUUAUUGGAACGUGCCCAAUCGCGGGGGAUAACUACUAGAAAGAGUGGCUAAUACCGCAUACUAUUGGAGCGGCCGAUAUGGGAUUAGCUAGUUGGUGGGGUAAAGGCUCACCAAGGCAACGAUCCGUAGCUGGUCUGAGAGGACGACCAGCCACACUGGGACUGAGACACGGCCCAGACUCCUACGGGAGGCAGCAGUGGGGAAUCUUGGACAAUGGGCGAAAGCCUGAUCCAGCCAUGCCGCGUGUAUGAGAAGGCCUUCGGGUUGUAAAGUACUUUUGGCAGAGAAGCGGUAUCUACAGAAUAAGCACCGGCUAACUACGUGCCAGCAGCCGCGGUAAUAC
rnacentral:rRNA from 1 species